rfam:Stegodyphus mimosarum contig63668, whole genome shotgun sequence.
GCUUUCAUGGUGUAGUGGUCAGCACACUCGGCGCGUAUUCGAGAAGUCCGUGGUUCGAGUCCCAGUGAAGGCA